AGCAGCCGCGGUAAUUCCAGCUCCAAUAGCGUAUAUUAAAGUUGUUGCAGUUAAAAAGCUCGUAGUUGAAUUUCGGGAUCAAUCUAUCGGUCGUGCAAUAGUACGUACUGAUUUUAUUGGUUCCUCCCUUCUGAUGAACUAUGAUGUCAUUAAUUUGGUGUCAUAGGGAAUCAGGACUGUUACUUUGAAAAAAUUAGAGUGUUUAAAGCAGGCUCACGCUUGAAUACAUUAGCAUGGAAUAACGAAAUAGGACGUUUGAUUCUAUUUUGUUGGUUUCUAGGAUCGACGUAAUGAUUAAUAGGGAUAGUCGGGGGCAUUAGUAUUCAAUUGUCAGAGGUGAAAUUCUUGGAUUUAUUGAAGACUAACUACUGCGAAAGCAUUUGCCAAGGAUGUUUUCAUUAAUCAAGAACGAAAGUUAGGGGAUCGAAGACGAUCAGAUACCGUCGUAGUCUUAACCAUAAACUAUGCCGACUAGGGAUCGGAUGAUGUUAAUUUUUUAAUGACUCA
rnacentral:rRNA from 1 species